rnacentral:rRNA from 1 species
UACGUAGGGGGCUAGCGUUGUCCGGAAUCAUUGGGCGUAAAGCGCGUGUAGGCGGUCCGGUAAGUCCGCUGUGAAAGUCGAGGGCUCAACCUCGAAUGCCGGUGGAUACUGUCGGGCUAGAGUACGGAAGAGGCGAGUGGAAUUCCUGGUGUAGCGGUGGAAUGCGCAGAUAUCAGGAGGAACACCCAUAGCGAAGGCAGCUUGCUGGGACGUUACUGACGCUAAGGCGCGAAAGCGUGGGGAGCGAACAGG